UUUGAUGGCGCGGGGUGUCGUGAUAAACGUCUGAGAAAUACCCGUUGAACUUGAUCUGGUUCGUACCAGCGUAAGAACGCCUUAGUCUGUAUUC
rnacentral:ncRNA from 1 species